CGGCCCCUCUCACCUGUGGCCUUGUCCCCCGGCAGGUUGGCUCAGCAUGUCGGUCAGCGUCCACGAGACCAGGAAGUCACGGAGCAGCACGGGCUCCAUGAACAUCACCCUCUUCCACAAAGCCUCCCACCCCGACUGCGUGCUGGCCCACCUCAACACGCUGCGCAAACACUGCAUGUUCACGGACGUCACGCUCUGGGCCGGCGACCGUGCCUUCCCCUGCCACCGCGCCGUGCUGGCCGCGUCCAGCCGGUACUUCGAGGCCAUGUUCAGCCACGGCCUGCGGGAGAGCCGGGACGACAUGGUCAACUUCCAGGAUAACCUGCACCCCGAGGUGUUGGAGCUGCUGCUGGACUUUGCCUACUCGUCCCGCAUCGUCAUCAACGAGGAGAACGCCGAGUCGCUGCUGGAGGCCGGCGACAUGCUGCAGUUCCACGACGUGCGGGACGCCGCCGCCGAGUUCCUGGAGAAGAACCUCUUCCCCUCCAACUGCCUGGGCAUGAUGCUGCUGUCGGACGCGCACCAGUGCCGCCGGCUGUACGAGUUCUCCUGGCGCAUGUGCCUGGUGCACUUCGAGACCGUGCGGCAGAGCGAGGACUUCAACAGCCUGUCCAAGGACACCCUGCUGGACCUCAUCUCCAGUGACGAGCUGGAGACGGAGGACGAGCGUGUGGUCUUCGAGGCCAUCCUCCAGUGGGUGAAGCACGACCUGGAGCAGAGGAAGACCCACCUGCCCGAGCUCCUCCGGAGCGUGCGGCUGGCCCUGCUGCCGGCAGACUGCCUGAAGGAGGCCGUCUCCGGCGAGGCCCUCCUCAUGGCCGACGAGCGCACCAGGCUCAUCAUAGACGAGGCGCUGCGUUGCAAGACCAAGAUCCUGCAGAACGACGGGGUGGUCACCAGCCCCUGCGCCCGGCCGCGCAAGGCAGGCCACACGCUGCUGAUCCUGGGGGGCCAGACCUUCAUGUGCGACAAGAUCUACCAAGUGGACCACAAGGCCAAGGAGAUCAUCCCCAAGGCGGACCUGCCCAGCCCCCGGAAGGAGUUUAGCGCCUCGGCAAUUGGCUGCAAGGUCUACGUGACCGGGGGCCGGGGCUCCGAGAACGGGGUCUCCAAGGACGUGUGGGUGUAUGACACCGUCCACGAGGAGUGGUCCAAGGCGGCGCCCAUGCUGAUCGCCCGCUUUGGUCACGGUUCCGCUGAGCUGGAGAACUGCCUCUAUGUGGUCGGGGGACACACGUCCCUGGCGGGCGUCUUCCCCGCCUCCCCUUCUGUCUCCCUGAAGCAGGUGGAGAAGUACGACCCCGGGGCUAACAAGUGGACAAUGGUGGCCCCGCUGAGGGACGGCGUCAGCAAUGCCGCAGUGGUGAGCGCCAAGCUGAAGCUCUUUGUUUUCGGAGGGACCAGCAUCCACCGAGACAUGGUGUCCAAAGUCCAGUGCUACGACCCCGCGGAAAACCGGUGGACCAUCAAGGCGGAGUGCCCCCAGCCUUGGCGGUACACGGCAGCCGCCGUCCUGGGCAGCCAGAUCUUCAUCAUGGGAGGUGACACGGAGUUCACGGCCGCCUCGGCCUACCGCUUCGACUGUGAGACCAACCAGUGGACGCGGAUCGGGGACAUGACCGCCAAACGCAUGUCCUGCCACGCCCUGGCCUCGGGCAACAAGCUCUAUGUGGUGGGGGGCUACUUCGGGACGCAGAGGUGUAAGACCCUGGACUGCUAUGACCCCACUUCGGACACGUGGAACUGCAUCACCACCGUGCCCUACUCGCUCAUCCCCACUGCCUUUGUCAGCACCUGGAAGCACCUGCCCUCGUGAGGAGUGCCUACAGAGCCCAGCCAGGAAGGAAUACAGGUUAAGAUCAGCCGAGUACAGGAGACAGAGCCCUCUGCGCGUGCAGUCUGGACAGCGUUCUUGUGCCUCCGUCAGUGAGAGACAGACGCACGGAAUAUUGUCCACCGGGGACGCUCACACGCGCCCUGGUGUCCAGAGUUUUCCCCGGGGCCCCAUCACGUAGGCUCAGUGGAUUGCCUGCGGUUCCUCUCCCACUCCAGGACUGAUCAUCUCCCAGAAGCCAAGGGCAGAGGCCAAACUUCCUUUACGACCCGAGGCUAAGGCCACACCCCAGACCAGGCCGCAGGUUUCCCGAGCUCCUGUGCCAGCACCGUCCGCAGCAGAGACGGAGGGUCCUUCAGCUCUUGCUCUGCACCCAGCCAUUUCCUUCUCCCUGCCGUCCUUCCGCCUGAGAAACCGCUGCUCCCGUGGCUCCGUCCCGCAGGUUGACCCAGGGUUGUUCCCAUGCUCUGCACAGCCCUGCUUCCCUCCAGCUUUGCCUGCCCGGGACGACUUGGAGUUCUCCAGAUGUCUUCAAAGGCCAGGGUGUAAACGCGGCUCUCUGGGGAUGGGCCCGUGACACAGCACCGGGCAGGAAGCUGGUGCCCCGGGUGUGCCUGGCCCUCCCUUUUCUCCCCAGGAAAUGGGGCUGCGGCGGCGGGCAGACUCUGCGUGUCUCUCCCCACCCCUGCGGCUGCAGCCCUCACUGUCCCAGAGUGGCCCUGACCCCGUCUGCCGCUGCAGGAAGCUCAGCCCGGCCCCGGAGCAGCCCUUGAGGUGGCUGGAAGCCGGCCCCAUCGGCUCGGGGAGCAGCAGUCUCGGGGGCUGUUCUGAGCUUCAGAUAAGAGGAGAGAAGCUGUCUCGAGUGCCCAGUGUGUCUGCCCAAGGCCUUUUCCGCUUUGCGGUGGUUUGUAGGGGAGAGGAAAUUCCAGAGGCGCAUGGACCGACCCCAGGACUCCCUCGGCCUCGGGGAGAAGACACAUGUGCUGAGCAUUGAGAUUGCCUGUUUCAGCAAGUCCUGUUCAGAGGCCGGGAGGCCGGGCAGCGGGGAGCCCUGGGUGGGUUGGGGUGGGUGGUACUGGGCGGACUUCGGGUCACGUGGUGCCAACAGCACAGUCUUGGCCUCACCGCCUCCCUGUUGUGAUUGUGAUGUCAGCCAACAGAGGGUGUCCCGGGCCUCGGGGAAACGGGGUCCACCGGCGCUGAGAGCACAGGUUGCCCAGGAGGAAAUCGAGGACACAUUGUGUCAGGGGCAGAAACCCAUCGGGUGACCUCAGUGGCACCCACAAGGCUUCAUUAGCAAAUGACACCAAGACCCCCAGCGUUAAAGAGGAAACCCUUGUGGGUCCCUCCCCAGAGUCAGGCCCGUCGUGCCCCGUCACAGCAGGACUUGGGGGCUGCCCAUCUCCUCAGAGCCUGCCUCUCCUCAGAGCCCACCCCAAGAGGUGGCAGUGACCCAUCUCCUAACAGGACCAUACUGGCCCUCAGGAUGUGGCCCUGCCCCCAAGCCUAGGAGCAGAUAGGAGCUGGCGACCGCAGGGUUACCACAGGGCACCCACUCUAGAUCCCGCCAGGCCUGGCCUCCUCAGCAUGGAGGACCGCAGCAAGGCCCAUGACCCCGGGCCCCCCACCAGCACCAGCUGGCCUCUGGGCCUUCCAGCUGGUCCACUUGCUUCCUGGGCUCCAAAAGGAAGAAUGAUCCCCAGGAGAACUGCCAAUUCGUGGCUCAUUUUGUCCACCUCCCAAGUCAGAGGGUCCCUCAUCAGUGUAUCCCCAAUAUCUGGGGUUCUGGAGGGGUCAGCUCACACCUAGUAUUAGGGUUUGCAGCCCAGCCCUUGCCACCCCCUGGGCACUACUGGUGUGGGGGGGGUGGUCUGGGCCAAACUGGUGGCUUCCCUGGCCGCCUGCCAGCUGCCUGCCAUUUGCUCGGUGCUGCUUGGCUGGUUUGGGACUGGGGCGCCUGAGUGGGCUGCAUGGUUGAUGGGGCCGCAACACAAACCAGUUGCUGUCUGCAAUUUCGCCCUGACCCCUCGCAGGACCUCGGUGCCUCCGCUGGCCCUGGGGCGUCUCUUGGGGGGGUCCUCGUUGCUGGGUUUGCCCGCUCAUGAGCACCAGCCAUAGGCCAUCGGCUGCCACUCGGGAAAAAGCUGGAAGCAGAGAGUGCAUCUCCAGGUCCCCUUAGAGGCCACAGAGCUUCCAUAGCAGAGGCUGGCCUCCUUGGCUCUGGGAGCACAGCCUCAGCCACCCAAAGCCCAGGGCUCUGGUCCCCAGAGAUGGCUCGGCCGGGGCAGCGGGGACAGAGGAAGCUGCUCGCCCAGAGGCCUGGGCUCCCAGACGCCCGGGGUGGGACAGGCACACUUGUCACACAGCACCACGGGCCUGCAGUGGUGCUUCCCCCAAGAGUUGUCUUCCUUCUGUUUCUAACGUAAUAAAAUUGCUGAGAAAAGC